GACAGCUUGGCCGAGUGGGUUAAGGCGAUAGACUAGAAAUCUAUUGGGGUAACCCGCGUGAGUUCAAAUCUCACAGCUGUCG
rnacentral:tRNA from 1 species